GACGAACGCUGGCGGCGUGCUUAACACAUGCAAGUCGAACGGUAAGGCCCUUCGGGGUACACGAGUGGCGAACGGGUGAGUAACACGUGGGUGAUUUGCCCUGCACUUCGGGAUAAGCCUGGGAAACUGGGUCUAAUACCGGAUAGGACCACUGCCUGCAUGGGUGGUGGUGGAAAGCUUUUGCGGUGUGGGAUGGGCCCGCGGCCUAUCAGCUUGUUGGUGGGGUGAUGGCCUACCCAGGCGACGACGGGUAGCCGGCCUGAGAGGGUGACCGGCCACACUGGGACUGAGAUACGGCCCAGACUCCUACGGGAGGCAGCAGUGGGGAAUAUUGCACAAUGGGCGCAAGCCUGAUGCAGCGACGCCGCGUGAGGGAUGACGGCCUUCGGGUUGUAAACCUCUUUCAGCACCGACGAAGCGCAAGUGACGGUAGGUGCAGAAGAAGGACCGGCCAACUACGUGCCAGCCGCCGCGGUAA
rnacentral:rRNA from 1 species